rnacentral:rRNA from 1 species
UGGGGAAUUUUCCGCAAUGGGCGAAAGCCUGACGGAGCAAUACCGCGUGAGGGACAAAGGCCUUCGGGUUGUAAACCUCUUUUAUCAAGGAGGAAAUUUUGACGUGUACUUGAUGAAUAAGCAUCGGCUAACUCCGUGCCAGCAGCCGCGGUAAGACGGAGGAUGCAAGUGUUAUCCGGAAUUAUUGGGCGUAAAGCGUCUGUAGGUGGUUUAAAAAGUCUACGGUUAAAAAUUGAAGCUUAACUUCAAAGAUGCCCUGGAAACUUUUAAACUUGAGUAUGGUAGGGGUAAAGGGAAUUUCCAGUGGAGCGGUGAAAUGCGUAGAUAUUGGAAAGACCACCGAUGGCGAAGGCACUUUACUGGGCCAUUACUGACACUAAGAGACGAAAGCUAGGGGAGCAAAUGGGAUUAGAUACCCCAGUAGUCCUAGCUGUAAACGAUGGAUACUAGAUGUUGUGUGUAUUGACCCAUGCAGUAUCGUAGCUAACGCGUUAAGUAUCCCGCCUGGGAAGUAUGCUCG